CCUCUGGGACUUUUCUCCUUUCUCUUGUCUCCUUUGUAUUGUCUUUACUGCAUGGACUGCUUUAAUGCCUUUGCCACCAUCUAUGCUUGCUUGUUUGUGCCUGCUUCAGUUGGGUUUCACAUGUUUGUAU